AAACUUCUCCUUAAGAGAUGUGUUUUAAAAUCGUGAGGCUGAUUGCGAUAUGUAAUAGAUGGGUUGGAUCCCAGCUCGAUUUUGCUAGCUGUGGACUUGGGGCUGUUACACUUGACUUAGGCAUGUUUCUAUUUAUGUGACUGUCGUUUGUGAUGUGCUUAUAGAUGGGUUAGUAUUCAUUUCCUGCAUUAGUGUCUUGCAUCUUGUUGUUCAAGUUCUUUCUUUUGAAAUUUUAGGAAUAGCUUUCAUUGCAUUAGGAAAUAUCUGAAACAAAGCUGUUUGUAGAUAUGGAGUAUGCUAUCCAUAAAUAUGGAUAUUGUUUGAAACCAAUGUGCUUAUGGACGGUCUUGUGCUGAUUAGAUUCUUAAGCCAUCAGCACAUAACAAAAGCCUAAGCUAUACGUAUGCCGCUUUGUGUCUCUAGCUUUUCCUUUCGAGUUUAUAUGAGGAAAAACUUUCUACAUUGUGGCUACAUUCAUAUUUUUUUUGGUAAUUUGAGAUUUUCAGGUUUGUCAAGAGCUCUUUUGAGCUCGGUCUUUGGCCCCUUCACGGAUAGCGUUGGAUCCUCUUGUGUAGCUUAUCAGGGAGGGGGGAUGGGUAGGUAUUGUUUGCUUGCAGGCACGUCCAAAGAGAAGAGCACUCUUCGUAGAGACACAUGAACAUCUUUGGAGUUAGAAGGACGUUUCUACUUGAUUUGAGAAGAAAUGGAAGGUGGAAAAUGGAGAAAAAAAUGGCAGAAACAAGAUGAAGAACACAAGGGUGGAGCUGAAAAAAUGGAAUUAAGAUGAUUGUCAUAGAAUUUGAAGUUAUAUAUAGUUUAAGUUGUAGGUUAAAGGCUUGGCACAUUACCAAGUUUUUCAAUUUAGUUCCUUUGAUUCAAGCUUAAUUUGAGUCCAUCUCAAUUCAGUAUUGAAGACUUAAUUUAGUUUCAUGAAUCAACCUACUUGAAUAUCUACUUAAAUAUAUUUUUAUAUUAAAUGGGGUGUGGAUAGCGGGCGGAGAUUUAGGCGGUGACCGGAAGGUGGGGAAUAUAAUCUUGUCCCGAACCCAUUCUCUACUCCUUCCAACAUUCUCUAGAAAACGGGGAAUAGAAUCCCUUUGCCAUUCUCCAGAAGUUGGGGAAUACAAUCUUGUCCCCAACUCAUUCUCUACUACCUCCGACGUUCUCCGUCUAAACGGAGAGAUCGGAGAAUCUCUAUUAGUUUGGGGCAGGUCUUUUAACUCCGUUCUCAGAUAAAAUGGACAUCUUUAGGUGUUAACCCUUUCUCGGAUAGGAUAAAAUAGCAUUCGGGAAGAAAUACUUUUUCAUCUCAUUAUUAAGUUUUCCAAAGUUUACGGCCUCUACUUCAUCGACAAAUCUGGGGGCUUGAUCUUCUACAAGGUACUCAACCCAUUGAAACUCCUCCUUUACGCAAUUCGAAAUUCAGAUUUCUGUCAACUCCCAAGAUUUCAGUUUUUCAUCUCACAUAGGAAUGUGAUUAUGAGAUUUUCAAUCCACAUUUUACUGAUUCAUAAAUCCAUUUUGGAUUGACUCUCUUAAUGGGUUCGUUUUGAAAUAUGGAUACGAACGAUAGCUUGAGAGUGGCGAGUUUAUGGCAUUCGAUGCAUAUGCCAUUUCCCAGCACACUUCGCCUAUAGCCGGCUGUUUGGGUGUUCAACUCAUUGAAGCUGAUGGAUUCCACCUCCAUUGCUUCCACUCACUUACUGAAAGGAAGUAGAGUUAAAGACUGUUUAGAGGCCACAUGAACGACUUUUGAACGACUUUUGAUCGGUAGGAUUAAUCCUUUCUCUAUUAUCAACCUAUAAAAGGAGAUAGCAUCAGGUCCUACAUCGAUUGGAGAGGAGAACGAAGCAUUUCUUAGGGUGUGGAAACCUCUCUCUAGUAGACGCGUUUUAAAACCAUGAGGCUGACUACGAUACAUAACAACAACCGAGUCGAUCAAGGAGCUAGUAUAUGACCAGCAACCACAGCCAUGGCAAUGAGAAUCCUCAAUUCCCUCUUCCUCUCAACCAACCGGCUCGCCGUCGUCGGCGGUCGACAGAAUGCCUCUCCUCUGGGUGCAUCCCUUUCAACCUCGACCAUACUGGCAUAGUCUCUUUUGUUGAAGUAAUAACUCGCCUGCUCAAACGCUUCCCGGACCUGGCUGCAACCAAUUCUGCAAUUCUCAAGUGCAGCUCUUGUUGCUGGAUCGGAUGUCCUAGCUUGAAGCUGCUCUAUGAACUCAUAGGUAUUGGACGCAUUUCUCAAAACUUGGUCAUUUGCUAUCAAGGGUCACCCAAGACAGGAUGAACAAUGAAGAACACGAAGAACACGAAGAACAAGGCUAGCCGUUGCGAAGAACACGCCGAGAACGCCAUGAUUCCGUUGCUGCUAAUGUUGGAAGCAAGAUCUGCUGCUUCGAGAACUUGUAAGCUUUUUGGAUAUUUGUUUUGAUUUCGUGGUAAUACUCUACACAAUCCUCAAAACUCUUCUUCUGCUCGGGAUCACUCUUAUUCUUACUUAGUUUGGAGAAGGAAUCCAAGAUUCAAUCGGCCUGCUUCAUCGUUAGAUUAAUGGAUAUAAGCGAGAGUUCGGGAGGUCGGCCGAGAUUGUAUGUGAAUCGUUGAUUUUCUGGCCGAGUGACGGGUUGGAGGUUGUAGAGCAAAUGGUGACCAGAUUUUUAUGGAGGAUUGCAUAAAGCUGCCAAAAGAAUAGUAGGGAUGAAGGAGGUGAGAUUUUGAGAGCAACCCAUUGUUGGUUUUGGCUGUGGCUUCCUUUGGAACCAAGAAGCUGGUUAAAAAAUGAGCUUGGAAGACAAAGUUACUUCAAAAGACGUUGAAUUGGCGAACAACCGAACCCUCGAGACCUUCUUCAAUUUAGUAUGUAAUGAGUCGACAUCGAGGUGUCAAACGACUCCAUGGAUAAGAGCUCUUGGGAGUACCUUUGAUCUGUUGAGCAAGAGGCCUUCCACACGAAACUCUCGAAUUACUAUGGUUAACUUUCGUCUCUGUUCGACUAGUCGAUCUUCCAAUCAGGUAGGCUUAUACCAUUAUGCUCACGAGCAGAACUUAGCUUGAGCCUACUUUCGUACACCUUCGUUACACUUAGGAGGCAUCAUGAUAUUUGGUUGUCAUUUGUUUGGAUUUUUCUUGGAAAACAACCAAGUGAGGUUACAUGUGAGGAAAGUACCAAAAGGCUUAGAGGGAUGACUCUUUCUCCCAAUGAAACAAGUAAUUCAUGGUUUUGUUUAGGUAAUUUGUUGGGCGGAAAUGACUUUCACGUCCCCAUCGUGCCCUCCGUUUAACCCUC